GGAGGCUAUGCGUGCCAAGGUCAGUUUGGUUGCGUUCAAGGGGACUAGAUUAAAAACUAGAAUAUUAAGAACAAUUCAGAUCGAAAGUAUCCUGCUUAUUACCUGUAAAGCAUUGUUGUUGGCCUUUUUCUACCUCUGUAAAAAACAGAGUACAGAACUUUGGGGUUGGCUUGUAACAUGGAAUGCCCUUGCUAUCUGUUGGGUUCUGUUGAAUGAAUCUUCACUUUAUGACCAGUAGGAGUUUUGGACUUUUUUAACAGUUAA
rnacentral:misc_RNA from 1 species